UACGUAGGGGGCUAGCGUUGUCCGGAAUCAUUGGGCGUAAAGAGCGUGUAGGCGGCCCGGUAAGUCCGCUGUGAAAGUCCAGGGCUCAACCCUGGGAUGCCGGUGGAUACUGUCGGGCUCGAGUCCGGAAGAGGAGUGUGGAAUUCCUGGUGUAGCGGUGAAAUGCGCAGAUAUCAGGAAGAACACCCGUGGCGAAGGCGGCUUCUGGGACGGUACUGACGCUGAGACGCGAAAGCGUGGGGAGCGAACAGG
rnacentral:rRNA from 1 species